UCCUUGGUGUGUCUCUUUUUUCGGUAUU
rnacentral:sRNA from 1 species